rnacentral:siRNA from 1 species
ACAGCAUGUUGGUCCUGUGGU